UACGUAGGGUCCGAGCGUUGUCCGGAAUUACUGGGCGUAAAGAGCUCGUAGGUGGUUUGUCGCGUUGUUCGUGAAAACUCACAGCUCAACUGUGGGCGUGCGGGCGAUACGGGCAGACUAGAGUACUGCAGGGGAGACUGGAAUUCCUGGUGCAGCGGUGGAAUGCGCAGAUAUCAGGAGGAACACCGGUGGCGAAGGCGGGUCUCUGGGCAGUAACUGACGCUGAGGAGCGAAAGCGUGGGGAGCGAACAGG
rnacentral:rRNA from 1 species